GACGAACCGUGCGAACGUUGUUCGGAUUCACUGGGCUUAAAGGGCGCGUAGGCGGUCGACCAAGUCUGGGGUGAAAUCUUUCGGCUCAACCGGAAAAGUGCCCCCGAUACUGGCCGGCUAGAGGGAGAUAGGGGCAUGCGGAACUUCCGGUGGAGCGGUGAAAUGCGUAGAUAUCGGAAGGAACGCCGGUGGCGAAAGCGGCGUGCUGGAUCUCUUCUGACGCUGAGGCGCGAAAGCCAGGGGAGCAAAGCGGGG
rnacentral:rRNA from 1 species